GAUCAUGGCUCAGGAUGAACGCUGGCGGCGUGCUUAACACAUGCAAGUCGAACGGAAGUUAAGAUGGAAGUUUUCGGGCGGAAGACUUAGUUGACUGAGUGGCGGACGGGUGAGUAACGCGUGGGUAACCUGCCUCACACAGGGGGGAUAACAGUUAGAAAUGACUGCUAAUACCGCAUAAGCGCACAGUACCGCAUGGUACAGUGUGAAAAACUCCGGUGGUGUGAGAUGGACCCGCGUCUGAUUAGCUAGUUGGUGAGGUAACGGCUCACCAAGGCGACGAUCAGUAGCCGACCUGAGAGGGUGACCGGCCACAUUGGGACUGAGACACGGCCCAGACUCCUACGGGAGGCAGCAGUGGGGGAUAUUGCACAAUGGAGGAAACUCUGAUGCAGCAACGCCGCGUGAGGGAAGAAGGUCUUCGGAUUGUAAACCUUUGUCUUUGGUGACGAACAAAUGACGGUAGCCAAGGAGGAAGCUCCGGCUAACUACGUG
rnacentral:rRNA from 1 species